GAUGAACGCUGGCGGCGUGCCUAAUACAUGCAAGUCGAGCGAACAGAUGAUGAGCUUGCUCCUCUGACGUUAGCGGCGGACGGGUGAGUAACACGUGGAUAACCUACCUAUAAGACUGGGAUAACUUCGGGAAACCGGUGCUGAUACUGGAGAAUAUAUUGAACGGCAUGGUUCAAUAGUGAAAGACGGUUUUGCUGUCACUUAUAGAUGGAUCCGCGCAGCAUUGGCUAUUUGGUAAGGUAACGGCUUACCAAGGCUCCGAUGCGUAGCCGACCGGGGAGGGGGAUCGGCACCCAUGAAAGUGAGCAAGGGCCCAAAUCCCAAGGGGAGGCAGCAGGAGGGAAUCUUCCGAAAUGGGGGAAAGCCUGACGGAGCAACGCGGGGGGGGUGAUGAAGGUCUUCGGUUGGAAAAACGCUGUUAUUAGGAAAGAAAAAAUGUGUAAGUAACUAUGCACGUCUUGAGGGUACCAAAGCAGAAGGCCACGGCUAACUACGU
rnacentral:rRNA from 1 species